rnacentral:lncRNA from 1 species
ACACUCGUGCCUUAUGUGCCACCGAAGCCCCGAAGUGCUCUCGCAUAUACCUUCACAUGUAAGUAAACGAAUGUAUCUCCUUAUUGAGAAUAUCACGCGAGUAGGCAGCUCUUGUGGUGCAUCACAAUCGUUUGAGAAGCGUCACAGUAGAGCAUUUUGCUACAUGCGGAGCGGUGUUUUUAUUUGCAGGUUUCCCUUCAGUAGGACAGGCGGACCAGCGCACCGGAAUUGUACUGGCGAAGCCACAAGCAACUCAAAGAAUCUGUUUAAUUGUUGCACUUUGAACAAUUAUGCUUCUACAGAGGUCACAGCAGAAAAACAGCCUGAUGCCGAGUACUUCUGUGCCAUGAAGUAAUCAAGGGGCGAGUGCCUAAUGCGGACGAAAUCGAGUGCAUCGAGACUUAGAACGACAGAAAGCUGAGCUAGUUGGUAAGGAUUCAUUAUGCAAAACAGAGGUAAGGCGUGCAGACAGGACACAAGAGUAGAGAAGUGGGCGGCGCUCGUGCGGUUUGCUUGUAAAUACUCUACUCUUGUGUCCUGUCUGCACGCCUCGCCUCCGUUUUGCAUAACGAGUGCAUCAACCCACAUAUUAAUAGCGUAGGCGUUUUAUUAACUGUGCAAUAUUUUCAACACUUCCUUGCAUGCCAUUUCAUGUGGAAUAUCUUUUCUGGUCACAAAUUUGUGCAGCGAAUCUAUUUGCAUGAUCGACUCCGGGCCUGUUGGACUGUUCACUUGCACUUGAUGCUGAGUCUUUUACAUGUAUCCAUAAACUGCAGAUAUGCAUAUCAGAUCCCUGCGAGCAUGUUCAAAAUUCAAUUAUUUUAGACAACAGGCACAUAUGCAAUACUAAAAUAAUCUCUAAUACCACUAAGCAGCUGGGACACACUUUUGUUGAGUAUACUCGCAAGUAAGAUAAGUAGAUCAUGUGGACAGCUCCAGCUCAUUUUCCUUAAAUCAGUGUGUACAAGGGAUUUGCAAAAAUAAUGUUUUUUCUCGCGCACCGAUUAUUUUGCUGUAUAAGCAAGAGAACCCACCACGUUAGUGUAACGUAUAUUGUACAUCACACUAAUAUGUGCUUUAAUUUACCAAGUGAGAUGAGUUACUUUUAUGGCUCAUUCAGUCAUAUCACACUGCGAGCUGCAUUCAUCAAUCUUCAAUUGGAUUUUGCAAAUGUUUAAUGAAACAUGUUUCCCUUUUAUGCAGAUAUGCAAUGGCAAGCCCUUCCGUGUGUUCCAAAGGCAGCCAGCACACCUCGAACAGCCACCUUGACUGCGGGUGUGUCACCCUAGUCGCCAAGGAAACAUUUGAGGGAAAGCGACGGGCAAUGUGAACAGCCACUUCUCCAUGUAAACGAUACUCUUUCUCUCGGAUGACUCCUAUGCCUCGCCACACCAGCCCAGUUGUGCACAAAGAUGCCGUGGAGGCACGUGCAGGUCAGAGGCAAGAAGCAGUGGCACUGGUGUCGACAUUCACCCAAUUUCUUUUUCUUACACUAAGGCAGCCAGCACACCUCGAACAGCCACCUUGAUUGCGGGUGUGUCUGUAGAUUCCUGUUGUACAUAUGCUCAUAAUAAACUUCAGUAAACUUGAACUUGAUAAUAAACUUGAAGGCAAAUGGGACGUUGA